AACGUAGGAGACAAACGUUAUCCGGAGUUACUGGGCGUAAAGGGCGUGUAGGGGGUAUCGUAAGUCUGGCGUGAAAUUUCUCGGCUUAACCGAGGCAGGUCGUCGGAUACUGCGAGGCUAGAGGACGGUAGAGGCGUGUGGAAUUCCGGGUGUAGUGGUGAAAUGCGUAGAGAUCGGGGGGAACACCCGUGGCGAAGGCGGCCAGCUGGGCCGACCCUGACACUGAGGCGCGAAGGCGUGGGGAGCGAACGGG
rnacentral:rRNA from 1 species